rnacentral:sRNA from 1 species
UCUGAUUGAUUUUUCUCUAUAUAUAUAUUUCUAUUAUUUUAUUGAGCUUUCUGUAAAUCUUUUUAUUGAAAAUAUUGAAUCAGUACAUCAGACUCUUUAUAAGACAGAGAUAUACUUCAUAUUUCUAUAUAUUUAUUUUAAAAUUUUAAAGUUUUUGAUACAGAUUAGACUGGCCGUGUGACCAUGCAUGGGACUGGGACCAAAUUUUUCCUCAGUCCCAUUAUUAGAUAUCUUAGUCCUGGUCCCAUAUAGUGUUUAGCAAAUUAGUCACUUUACACUGUUUAUAUUAUAAAUCUAGUCCCAGAUCAUGUUUUACUAAUAAAUUAGUGAUUCUGAUCCCAUUUGGUCCCAUUUUACAAAAUGGGACCAAAUGGGACCAUGAUUUACCCUAUAUAGGUUGGCAGCGAUAGAUAUUGGCAGCAGUGGGUAGGUUGGCAGCAGCACUAAGCAAGAUAGAGGUAAUAUCUCCACCAAUCAUAUCAUCAGAUUGAUGUAUUAUAUAAUCAUCAGAAUGGGACCAAACUUGAGUCAAAAUCAUGAUCAGUCCCAGAUCAUGUUCUGAUUUUGAUAGUCAGUCACUUUACAUGGAAUAUCAAGAUUUUUUAGUCCCAUUUCACUCAUGUUUUGAUAAUUCUAGUCACUUUACACUCCCAUUCUGGUCCUGGUCCCACUAAAAUCAUGCCAAGAAAUGGACUGGGACCAAACCAAACCAAACCAAAUGUGUAAUUCAUGGUCCCAGCGGCCAGUCUAAUACAGAUUAAGUUUUAAUUUUUAUUGUGU